rnacentral:rRNA from 1 species
CGUUGUUCGCAUGAACAACGCUUAAAAGAUGGCUUCUCGCUAUCACUUCUGGAUGGACCUGCGGUGCAUUAGCUUGUUGGUGGGGUAACGGCCUACCAAGGCGAUGAUGCAUAGCCGAGUUGAGAGACUGAUCGGCCACAAUGGGACUGAGACACGGCCCAUACUCCUACGGGAGGCAGCAGUAGGGAAUCUUCCACAAUGGGCGCAAGCCUGAUGGAGCAACACCGCGUGAGUGAAGAAGGGUUUCGGCUCGUAAAGCUCUGUUGUUAAAGAAGAACACGUAUGAGAGUAACUGUUCAUACGUUGACGGUAUUUAACCAGAAAGUCACGGCUAACUACGUGCCAGCAGCCGCGGUAAUACGUAGGUGGCAAGCGUUAUCCGGAUUUAUUGGGCGUAAAGAGAGUGCAGGCGGUUUUCUAAGUCUGAUGUGAAAGCCUUCGGCUUAACCGGAGAAGUGCAUCGGAAACUGGAUAACUUGAGUGCAGAAGAGGGUAGUGGAACUCCAUGUGUAGCGGUGGAAUGCGUAGAUAUAUGGAAGAACACCAGUGGCGAAGGCGGCUACCUGGUCUGCAACUGACGCUGAGACUCGAAAGCAUGGGUAGCGAACAGGAUUAGAUACCCUGGUAGUCCAUGCCGUAAACGAUGAGUGCUAGGUGUUGGAGGGUUUCCGCCCUUCAGUGCCGGAGCUAACGCAUUAAGCACUCCGCCUGGGGAGUACGACCGCAAGGUUGAAACUCAAAGGAAUUGACGGGGGCCCGCACAAGCGGUGGAGCAUGUGGUUUACAUGGUCGUCGUCAGCUCGUGUCGUGAGAUGUUGGGUUAAGUCCCGCAACGAGCGCAACCCUUGUUACUAGUUGCCAGCAUUAAGUUGGGCACUCUAGUGAGACUGCCGGUGACAAACCGGAGGAAGGUGGGGACGACGUCAGAUCAUCAUGCCCCUUAUGACCUGGGCUACACACGUGCUACAAUGGACGGUACAACGAGUCGCGAACUCGCGAGGGCAAGCAAAUCUCUUAAAACCGUUCUCAGUUCGGACUGCAGGCUGCAACUCGCCUGCACGAAGUCGGAAUCGCUAGUAAUCGCGGAUCAGCAUGCCGCGGUGAAUACGUUCCCGGGCCUUGUACACACCGCCCGUCACACCAUGAGAGUUUGUAACACCCAAAGUCGGUGGGGUAACCUUUUAGGAGCCAGCCGCCUAAGGUGGGACAGAUGAUUAGGGUGAAGUCGUAACAAGGUAGCCGUAGGAGAACCUGCGGCUGGAUCACCUCCUUU